GCCUCACAUGUACACAUGUUUUAUUUACAUAUUUUAUGAUGAAUUUAUUGAGAAUAUGAUACGUCCUAAAUGUUGAGACUUCCCCCUCAGAAUUAUGGCGACUGUAUGAGAGAAUCCUCAACCAUUAUUUCUAUGAAAUGAGCUCAAUUUCGGUUUGUAGUGGGUCACAGGGUUAAAUCCUGGCAAAACUGGAGAAACAGUUCUGGAUUAUUGCUGCCUCGUUUGAUAAUCAUUCGGCAAUAACUCCAAUGCUCUUAAACUUUUGAGGGUUUUUUUUAUUUAAUAAGAGAGCAGAUUUUUCUUGUCGGCUCUCUGCCGUGGCUGGACCCAUUUCAAUUGAGGGCGCAGGAAGCCGCUAGUUUGAGAUCCUGUGCAAUCUUACCGGAGCACAACAGAGGAGCAUCCUCAACGUGGGAGGAAGCGAGUGGUGACGAUACAGGAGAUGGUGCAUGCAUGGUGAGACGGGAAUCAGCGACACAAACAUGACAAUAUUUUUUUUUAACAUCUGGCCCUCCAUGCUUCGCGUUACGGGUAUGGUCAGGUUAAUAGGCCUCUAUGUGAAUUGACCAAUGGAUGGUUCUUCAUUCGUUCGAGGUCGAAAACUGGACAUUCAUUGGGACGAAACCCGAUGAGAGGCUAUCAAAAGAAGGUUUUGGCAUCGACUAAAUUGGCCAAGUUCAGGAAAAUUUUCAGAGACGUAAGGUUUUUGAAGAGGUUUUUGAAUAUGGU
ensembl:lncRNA